GAUGAACGCUGGCGGCGUGCCUAAUACAUGCAAGUCGAGCGAACGGACGAGAAGCUUGCUUCUCUGAUGUUAGCGGCGGACGGGUGAGUAACACGUGGAUAACCUACCUAUAAGACUGGGAUAACUUCGGGAAACCGUAGCUAAUACCGGAUAAUAUUUUGAACCGCAUGGUUCAAAAGUGAAAGACGGUCUUGCUGUCACUUAUAGAUGGAUCCGCGCUGCAUUAGCUAGUUGGUAAGGUAACGGCUUACCAAGGCAACGAUGCAUAGCCGACCUGAGAGGGUGAUCGGCCACACUGGAACUGAGACACGGUCCAGACUCCUACGGGAGGCAGCAGUAGGGAAUCUUCCGCAAUGGGCGAAAGCCUGACGGAGCAACGCCGCGUGAGUGAUGAAGGUCUUCGGAUCGUAAAACUCUGUUAUUAGGGAAGAACAUAUGUGUAAGUAACUGUGCACUUCUUGACGGUACCUAAUCAGAAAGCCACGGCUAACUACGUG
rnacentral:rRNA from 1 species